UCCUCUUUCCUUACGUAAAAUAAAUAAUAGAAUUAAAAAAACUUUUAUUUUCUCUUUAUUUCUACAACAGAAAAAAAUUUAUGCUUAUCCAAAUUUUGGCCAACCGAAAGAUAUCUACUGUGAAUCUAAAUUUUAAUUCAAUUUUCUUAAAAUUUCUUUUUACCUCUAAAAUAGACAAAAAAUUCACGCUUAUUCAAAUUUCUACCACAAUAUUUACUGUAAAUCUAUAUUUCAAUUUAAAAUUUAAAAUUAAUUUAAAAUUUUAAAUGUUGGGACUACCAACAUAUUACAACAGAAAUAAUUGUGUAGAUAGAUAGGUUGAUAAAUUUGUAAAUUACAUUUUUGAAUUAAUAUGAUCUACAAAUUUAUGAUCAAUUUGUAAAAAAUUUAUCUCAAAUAAGAAUAAAUGGUUAUGAUCAAUUUGUUCAAAACAAAUAUUUAUAUCCAUCUAUAAUUUCAAUUCUACGAACGGUUAUGAUCAAUUGGUUAAAAGUAUUGAAAAUAAAAAUGAAUUGUUAUAAUCAAUCAAUUAAAAAAUAGCACUUCUAUCGAUAUAUUUUAUAUUAAAAUUUAAAUUUGAGUCUAAAUAAUGAAUUAAAUUUAAUUUUAAAUUUUUGAUAUCAAAUUUGUUAUUAUAUUAA
rnacentral:lncRNA from 1 species